rnacentral:rRNA from 1 species
UACGUAGGGUGCAAGCGUUAAUCGGAAUUACUGGGCGUAAAGCGUGCGCAGGCGGCUAUGCAAGACAGAUGUGAAAUCCCCCGGGCUUAACCUGGGAACUGCAUUUGUGACUGCAUGGCUAGAGUGCGGCAGAGGGGGAUGGAAUUCCGCGUGUAGCAGUGAAAUGCGUAGAUAUGCGGAGGAACACCGAUGGCGAAGGCAAUCCCCCUGGGCCUGCACUGACGCUCAUGCACGAAAGCGUGGGGAGCAAACAGG